UACGAAGGUGGCAAGCGUUGUUCGGAUUUACUGGGCGUACAGGGAGCGUAGGCGGUUGGAUAAGCCCUCCGUGAAAUCUCCAGGCUUAACCUGGAAAGUGCAGAGGGGACUGUUCAGCUAGAGGAUGGGAGAGGAGCGCGGAAUUCCCGGUGUAGCGGUGAAAUGCGUAGAGAUCGGGAGGAAGGCCGGUGGCGAAGGCGGCUACCUGGACCAGCACUGACACUGAGGCACGAAAGCGUGGGGAGCAAACAGG
rnacentral:rRNA from 1 species